AUUUAAAGAGGAUAUAAGUGAAAGAAGGUGUUGCUUUACUCUUGUAGAUGCUUAUUCCAUCGUAGUUUCUCACAAAGUCCCACUAGGAAAUCACAGUGGAAGACGUCUUACCAUCUUUUCUCUGGCAGUCACCACUAUUGCUGUAGCACAUGGAAAAGUCACCGCUUGUGUCAGUGAUAAUACUUUACUAGGCCAAGCAGUCCUGGCCUCUUUCAUGCUACAGAUGUCUUGGUUGUAAGCUGCCUCCAUGACUUGCUUUUUGUCACAAACAAGAGAGGAGAAAAGAAAGAAGAAAAAAGAAAAAAGAAAGAAGAAAAAAAGAAAGAAGAAAAAAGAAAGAAGAAAAAAGAAAUAUGAUAGGACAAAACAGCAAGA
ensembl:lncRNA